CACCGUCGUGGCUCCGUUGCAUUUGCCGUUCUCCAUUUAUUUUUCUUUGUAUUUCUCUCUCUCUCUUUCUCUAUGCUCGU
rnacentral:sRNA from 1 species